ACAUACGUUUUAACCCAGCGGGUGCUGUAAACAGUACGUUGGCGGUUCACACCAGUUCAGAAGUAAGGUAUCUUAAAUUGCACUCGACAAUGUUGUGAAUACUUUAAAAUGCUUGAAGCCAUACUUGAUGCCUUCCAUAACGUGUAAAGUAAGAAGUUAGCCUGUGUUAAAAAGUGGUGAUCCCUGCAGAUUACCAAGGCAUCCAGUCUCCCAGCAAGUGCCAAGAGGUAUUCAUUCAAUGCUCCGCUGACACCAAUUUGCCCAAAGAAUAUUUAUGUGGGAGACUCCUCAGAUUGUGGAGACCCCAGAUUGUGGAGGCUCCUGGGCAGCUGGUCUUUUUGUGGACUCCUAAAUCUGGCACUGAACAAAAUUCUCUCUCUCUCUCUCUCUCUCUCUCUCUCUCUCUCUCUCUCUCUCUCUCUCUCUCUCUCUCUCUCUCUCUCUCUCUCUCUCUCUCUCUCUCUCUC